AACGAACGCUGGCGGCAUGCCUAACACAUGCAAGUCGAACGAGACCUUCGGGUCUAGUGGCGCACGGGUGCGUAACGCGUGGGAACCUGCCCUUAGGUUCGGAAUAACUCCCCGAAAGGGGUGCUAAUACCGGAUAAUGUCUUCGGACCAAAGAUUUAUCGCCUUUGGAUGGGCCCGCGUUGGAUUAGCUAGUUGGUAGGGUAAAAGCCUACCAAGGCGACGAUCCAUAGCUGGUCUGAGAGGAUGAUCAGCCACACUGGGACUGAGACACGGCCCAGACUCCUACGGGAGGCAGGAGUGGGGGAUGUUGGACAAUGGGCGAAAGCCUGAUCCAGCAAUGCCGCGUGAGUGAUGAAGGCCUUAGGGUUGUAAAGCUCUUUUACCCGGGACGAUAAUGACAGUACCGGGAGAAUAAGCUCCGGCUAACUCCGUG
rnacentral:rRNA from 1 species